AUUAGCUAGAUGGUGGGGUAAAGGCCUACCAUGGCGACGAUCUGUAGCUGGUCUGAGAGGAUGAUCAGCCACACCGGGACUGAGACACGGCCCGGACUCCUACGGGAGGCAGCAGUGGGGAAUAUUGGACAAUGGGGGAAACCCUGAUCCAGCCAUGCCGCGUGUGUGAAGAAGGCCUUUUGGUUGUAAAGCACUUUAAGCAGUGAAGAAGACUCCGUGGUUAAUACCCACGGACGAUGACAUUAGCUGCAGAAUAAGCACCGGCUAACUCUGUGCCAGCAGCCGCGGUAAUACAGAGGGUGCAAGCGUUAAUCGGAAUUACUGGGCGUAAAGGGAGCGUAGGUGGCUCUAUAAGUCAGAUGUGAAAUCCCCGGGCUCAACCUGGGAACUGCAUCUGAAACUGUAGAGCUAGAGUAUGUGAGAGGAAGGUAGAAUUCCAGGUGUAGCGGUGAAAUGCGUAGAGAUCUGGAGGAAUACCGAUGGCGAAGGCAGCCUUCUGGCAUAAUACUGACACUGAGGCUCGAAAGCGUGGGUAGCAAACAGGAUUAGAUACCCUGGUAGUCCACGCCGUAAACGAUGUCUACUAGUCGUUGGGUCCCUUGAGGACUUAGUGACGCAGCUAACGCAAUAAGUAGACCGCCUGGGGAGUACGGCCGCAAGGUUAAAACUCAAAUGAAUUGACGGGGGCCCGCACAAGCGGUGGAGCAUGUGGUUUAAU
rnacentral:rRNA from 1 species